GACGAACGCUGGCGGCGUGCCUAAUACAUGCAAGUCGAACGCUGAAGGAGGAGCUUGCUUCUCUGGAUGAGUUGCGAACGGGUGAGUAACGCGUAGGUAACCUGCCUGGUAGCGGGGGAUAACUAUUGGAAACGAUAGCUAAUACCGCAUAAGAGUAGAUGUUGCAUGACAUUUGCUUAAAAGGUGCAAUUGCAUCACUACCAGAUGGACCUGCGUUGUAUUAGCUAGUUGGUGGGGUAACGGCUUACCAAGGCGACGAUACAUAGCCGACCUGAGAGGGUGAUCGGCCACACUGGGACUGGGACACGGCCCAGACUCCUACGGGAGGCAGCAGGAGGGGAUCUUCGGCAAUGGACGGAAGUCUGACCGAGCAACGCCGCGUGAGUGAAGAAGGUUUUCGGAUCGUAAAGCUCUGUUGUAAGAGAAGAACGAGUGUGAGAGUGGAAAGUUCACACUGUGACGGUAUCUUACCAGAAAGGGACGGCUAACUACGUG
rnacentral:rRNA from 1 species